GAGGGUGUAACUCAAUGGUACAAGUGCAUGCCUAGCAUGCACAGUGUCCUAGGUUCAAUCCCCAGCACCUCCA
rnacentral:tRNA from 1 species